CCUACGGGAGGCAGCAGUGAGGAAUAUUGGUCAAUGGACGAGAGUCUGAACCAGCCAAGUAGCGUGAAGGAUGACUGCCCUAUGGGUUGUAAACUUCUUUUAUCAGGGAAUAAAACGAGGCACGUGUGCCUUUUUGCGUGUACUUUAUGAAUAAGCAUCGGCUAACUCCGUGCCAGCAGCCGCGGUAAUACGGAGGAUCCGAGCGUUAUCCGGAUUUAUUGGGUUUAAAGGGAGCGUAGAUGGGUUGUUAAGUCAGUUGUGAAAGUGUGGGGCUCAACCGUAAGAUUGCAAUUGAUACUGGCAGUCUUGAGUACAGUAGAGGUAGGCGGAAUGCGUGGUGUAGCGGUGAAAUGCUUAGAUAUCACGAAGAACUCCGAUUGCGAAGGCAGCUUACUAAACUGCCACUGACAUUGAUGCUCGAAAGUGUGGGUAUCAAACAGGAUUAGAUACCCGAGUAGUC
rnacentral:rRNA from 1 species